UACGGGGGGUGCGAGCGUUGUCCGGAAUCACUGGGCGUAAAGGGCGCGUAGGUGGCCUGAUAAGGGUGUGGUGAAAGUCCGGGGCUCAACCCCGGAUCUGCCGUGCCGACUGUUAGGCUAGAGUACUGUAGGGGCAGGCGGAAUUCCGGGUGUAGCGGUGGAAUGCGUAGAGGUCCGGAGGAAGACCGGUGGCGAAGGCGGCCUGCUGGGCAGUUACUGACACUGAGGCGCGACAGCGUGGGGAGCAAACAGG
rnacentral:rRNA from 1 species